GGAUGUGAGGGUGAUCUAACUAUAACAUAUGUCAUCCCAUUGAUCACCAGGGUUGAUUCAGCUGAUCUGGCUAGCCAGGUGAAAGUCCCCUUCCCUCCUCACCACUCCAUGUGUGUCACUCCUGAAGCUGCAUGAUCACUCGAAGAGGGUGACUAUCCCUUGCCGAGGAGGACCGUUGUUUGAUCAAGGGCAUAUGAAUAGCUGUGCUCCUCUGCUCGAACCUCCAAACGAGCUCUCAAAAUUAAUCCUAUGCCCACUAUAACUAUUGAAGGAAUUUGGGUAUAAAACAUAAUGUGACCAAAUUUGCAAUUUUACUUCUGAGUUUUGGUUUAC
rnacentral:snRNA from 1 species